rnacentral:rRNA from 1 species
GAUGAACGCUGGCGGCGUGCCUAACACAUGCAAGUCGAGCGUGAUUUAUGAGGACGAAACUUCGGUCUAGGAAUCAUAAUGAAAGCGGCGGACGGGUGAGUAACGCGUAGGCAACCUGCCCUUGACACGGGGAUAGCCUCGGGAAACCGGGAUUAAAACCUGAUGACGCCAAACAGUCACAUGGCUGUUUGGCCAAAGAUUUAUCGGUCAAGGAUGGGCCUGCGUCUGAUUAGUUAGUUGGUGGGGUAACGGCCUACCAAGACGACGAUCAGUAGCCGACCUGAGAGGGUGAUCGGCCACAUUGGAACUGAGACACGAUCCAAACUCCUACGGGAGGCAGCAGUGGGGAAUAUUGCACAAUGGGCGAAAGCCUGAUGCAGCAACGCCGCGUGAGCGAUGAAGGCCUUUGGGUCGUAAAGCUCUGUCCUUGGGGAAGAAACAAAUGACGGUACCCAAGGAGGAAGCCCCGGCUAACUACGUGCCAGCCGCCGCAGUAAUAC